rnacentral:rRNA from 1 species
AUUGAACGCUGGCGGCAUGCUUUACACAUGCAAGUCGGACGGCAGCGGGGUAGUGCUUGCACUACUGCCGGCGAGUGGCGAACGGGUGAGUAAUAUAUUGGAACGUACCGAGUAAUGGGGGAUAACCAAUCGAAAGAUUGGCUAAUACCGCAUACGCUCUGAGGAGGAAAGCAGGGGACCUUCGGGCCUUGCGUUAUUCGAGCGGCCAAUAUCUGAUUAGCUAGUUGGUGGGGUAAGGGCCUACCAAGGCGACGAUCAGUAGCGGGUCUGAGAGGAUGAUCCGCCACACUGGGACUGAGACACGGCCCAGACUCCUACGGGAGGCAGCAGUGGGGAAUUUUGGACAAUGGGCGCAAGCCUGAUCCAGCCAUGCCGCGUGUCUGAAGAAGGCCUUCGGGUUGUAAAGGACUUUUGUUAGGGAAGAAAAAGGAGCGGUUAAUACCCGUUUCUGCUGACGGUACCUAAAGAAUAAGCACCGGCUAACUACGU